AUGGAUUCUGGAGAAACAAGCGUGGCGGCCCGUUUCCCACUGGGAGCUGCGGCAGAGCAAUCCCAACAGGCCCUCAGGAGGGGCUGGGAGCUCGACGCUCUGCAGACUGGAAGGAAUUGGCUCUGCCCACAGCCCGUCCUGCAGCCUGUGUUUAACAAUACGUCCCAAACGUGCGAAGCGCCUGGUCUCAGAGCAACAGGAAGAAGGGAUCGCCUGCGACUUCAGGCAACUGCGGAUUUGAAUUUUGUCCUGGCCAUCACGUCCUCCCGGGGAGCCUGGCUUUCUCUGGCCAGGGCAGAGCGUCCCCCACACCUCGAGUCUGGCGUGUGUGUCCCAGGGAGGGUGGCAUCCCCGCGCCUUGCACAUCUGGCCCCCGGGAGGCUGAGGCCGGGUCUGCUGAGGGAGGAGCCCACGCCCCAGCUCAGAGCCUCCUCCGGGUCCACCGGGCCACGGAAACCGGCACGAAAUUGCUGCUUCCUCCUGCGCUGCUCCGCGCGGCCCGCCCCACGGCAGCUGCAAGAGGCCCUUCUGACAACGGAGCACUGUGGCUCGUGCCUGCCCCCCUCCCCGCCACAAAGGGGGCCUUUCACGGCUGCGGACCUGCAUCUGGGAGGGCGGGGACCGCACGGCCUGCUCGUUGGCCAGCACCGGGCACGGGGGCCACGAUCGCCGUGCUGUACCUGGAACCGGCCCUUCCUUGGAGACAAACGCUUUAUUUCAUUUCCACCAGGGAGCUCUCCUGACGGCGGCCAGCUUGUUUGUCGGGGAGAGAAGUGUUGGCUGUUUACGCCAACAGAGAUGAUGCAGAAACUUCACAGGGCCCUCUGUCGGAAAAGCCAUUUCCUCCUGGAAGGAAGACCCCACGGGGACGGGCGGAUUUAUGGUGUCAGCGGUUCCAGAAGGACACAGAGGCGAUCGACAGCCCCGGCUGCGUUCGGGGCGCGUGGUGGCUUGGAGAAAGGAUGGGAGGGAAGGACCUUCACGCUCUGUCCUUUUGGACUCUUGGAAGACGGAACCACCUGA
rnacentral:lncRNA from 1 species